GGACAAUCCAGGGACAUCCACUACCAAGCCAGUCACUUGCAGGGAAAAAAAGCAUCUACUGUCAACAAAGGGUCUAGAGAAGAAACAAAACAAUCCUGCAACCAAACAGCUGCCUGAGGUUUUGAAGCUAGAUGCACUGGAACUCCACUUUUUGAACAGAGUGUGAAGUCAAUUCCUCCGAGGGCUGUCAGCAAACAUUUUGGGCCUGGUUCCUGGAUCAUCAACAGAAUUCUGUCCUUGACAUCUGGAACACCCAUCUGAGAGGUG
rnacentral:lncRNA from 1 species